AUUUUCAAGUGGUAAUGAACCUAUUGAAAUAUCAAGUGAUGCUAUGUACUACGGGAAAUUGGUUGACAUCAUAGAGUUAGACUACUAUGGUAAGUUAAGGGUUGUGCUAUUCAAAUGUGAUUGGGUAGACACUACACUUAACAAGGGAAUCAAAAUUGAUAAAUUUGGGAUAACAAGUGUAAACUUUUCAUGUUUAAUACACACCGGUGCAAAUGAAGCAGAUGAACCAUUCAUCCUUGCAACUGAUGCUAGAAUGGUAUAUUAUAUUGAUGAUCCAGUUGAUCAAGGUUGGUGUUGUGUUUGCCACAUGAAG
rnacentral:lncRNA from 1 species